rnacentral:SRP_RNA from 2 species
GCCGGGUGUGGUGGCUCACGCCUGUAAUCCCAGCACUUUGGGAGGCUGAGAUGGGUGGAUCACCUGAGGUCAGGAGUUUGAGACCAACCUGGCCAACAUAGUGAAACCCCAUCUCUA